rnacentral:rRNA from 1 species
CAAGUCGAACGGGAUUCGGGGUAGCAAUACUUUGAUGAGAGUGGCGCACGGGUGCGUAACGCGUAUGCAACCUACCUUUAACAGGGGAAUAGCCCCGAGAAAUCGGGAUUAAUACUCCGUAACAUUGCGGUGUGGCAUCACACUGCAAUUAAAGAUUUAUCGGUUAAAGAUGGGCAUGCGUGACAUUAGCUAGUUGGUGAGGUAACGGCUCACCAAGGCAACGAUGUCUAGGGGUCCUGAGAGGGCUAUCCCCCACACUGGUACUGAGACACGGACCAGACUCCUACGGGAGGCAGCAGUAAGGAAUAUUGGUCAAUGGGCGCAAGCCUGAACCAGCCAUGCCGCGUGCAGGAAGACGGCCCUAUGGGUUGUAAACUGCUUUUAUCAGGGAAUAAACCCCCGCUCGUGAGCGGGGCUGAAGGUACCUGAAGAAUAAGCAUCGGCUAACUCCGUGCCAGCAGCCGCGGUAAUACGGAGGAUGCAAGCGUUAUCCGGAUUCAUUGGGUUUAAAGGGUGCGCAGGCGGAUUGGUAAGUCAGGGGUGAAAUCCCACAGCUCAACUGUGGAACUGCCUUUGAUACUGUCAGUCUAGAGUAUAGUUGAAGUUGGCGGAAUGUGUCAUGUAGCGGUGAAAUGCUUAGAU